UAGGGAAUAUUAGAAAUGGACGAAAGUCUGAUCUAGCAACACCGCGUGUGCGAAGAAGGCCUUCGGGUCGUAAAGCACUUUUUGGAAGGAAUAGGAAGGAAUGUACUUCCAGAAUAAGUCUCGGCUAACUACGUGCCAGCAGCCGCGGUAACACGUAGGAGGCAAACGUUAUCCGGAUUUACUGGGCGUAAAGCGCGUGUAGGUGGUACUGUAAGUAGGGCGUGAAAGCUCCUGGCUCAACUGGGAGAGGCCGUUCUAAACUACAGAACUAGAGGAUGGUAGAGGGAGGUGGAAUUCCAGGUGUAGCGGUGGAAUGCGCAGAUAUCUGGAGGAACACCGGUGGCGAAGGCGGCCUCCUGGACCAUUCUGACACUCAGACGCGAAAGCUAGGGUAGCA
rnacentral:rRNA from 1 species